ACGUCUUCUCAGUCUCGUGUGGUUUGUUCGUUCCGACUUCCCGAGUGGCUUUCGGGUUUCCUCUUCCCUCGUCCAACCAGAGUACCAGACCACCGGAGUCCGGAGGUAUCCACCUUCACCGCCGUACCAACGCCCAUCGCUGCCUAAGGUGCGCGACGGGUUUAACUCCCGGGCGCCGAGUUCUCUACAGUUCUACCUCUGCACCACCUCCGACCUGGGUACCAGCUUCCGCCAUCGGCUGGGUACCAUCGGUCCAUCGCCAUAGGCUCACGAAGAGAAGGGAAAUCACUUUCAGCAAUGUCAUACCACUCCACCCAUUUUGGCGUGUCCUGAAACUCUAGUAGCUCCAGAGCUGGGAACCGUUUUGUGGAGCCCUGGCCAUAAAACUCUUGCCCAAUUCGCUCUACACCUUCCAUAUGGAUGACUACAAGUUCAUGGAGCUGGGGGCCUGGGGCAGUUGGCCAAGAGCUGGAAGAAACUUGCAUUUUUGCUUCCAUAGAGUCACCUUGGCCAAACGUUAGAAGGCAGGAUCACCCAUCCAGCUUGGAUAUUUGUAGCCACUAUACUCGACUACCUCCAACUCCUCAAGGUUCCUCUGUGGUUUUAAGCUCUCAAAUACCUCCUCUUCAAAUUCUGGGGUUGAUGUUGCAUUAUUCUGAUCAGCAGUGUGCUCACAUUCAGUAGCGUAGAAUCCAGCAGACCAAUCCAAUCUUAGAAUUUGCAGGUGUCGUUUACUGAUCAUGUUUGUUGUCUGAGCAUCAUUGAUGUUGGUCACUCUGCUGAGCCCUGUAACGGAAAGUUGUCCAUGGAUAUUCACCAAAUGGUGUAGUUCAGCAAUGUUGCAGUGCCAAUUCCCUGUUCCAACACUAUACCUUGUCAAUGUUUUUAGCUUCUUCAGCUCGCCAAUUCCUCUUGGCAUGCAUAGGGGAGACCAGAGAUCUAAACUAAGGUGCUGAAGGCUGACCAACUUCUGAAUGCCUUGUGGAAUCUCUCCAAGUAUGUUAGUUCUUGCAUCCAAAACCUUCAAGCUGUAACUAAAGACCGCAGAUAGAUUCAGGUAGCUUGGCAAUUCGUGUUUGAAAAAUACUGAGGUAUCAAAGCAACUUCCGUUCUCCUAUUGACUCAGGCAAUGAUGUCAUUGAACUAUGGCUUAAAUCCAAGGCUCUCAGAUGUCGAAGACCUUCAGGAAGUGUAAUGUUGAUAUGAUGAGAGAACAACUUGGAGAAGCAUCUUCUGUUGUUUUUGAAAAGAGAAGAAUAGUACCUCUUGUUAUCAUCCUAGCAUUUAUAACUUGAAGUAUCCUAAUACUUCCAUUAACUGGCAAGGUAUGCAGGUCCAAAUUAGUAUGAUCCGUAGAACUCACAGCAAAGGAUAUGUACCUAACAUUACGCGAUGCAUCAUUUAAGUACAGCAUGUGUUGAUUGUCCAAUUUCAGAAUGUCUUCACCUGAGACAAAUUUGGCCAGAUCAAGGAAAAGGUCAUGUAUGGUAAAGCAAUUGCGUCCUCCAUCAAUUUGUACUCACUGAACCAUAGUUCUCUGCAACAGGUCAUCAAAGUAUUGAUUGCCAAUAUUCUCAAAGUGUCUAUGGUUCUGCUUAAGGAUGCCCAAAGAUAUCCAGAGAUAUACAACAUUUUCCUUCAUGAAAAUGUGCCCCUUUAGGAACAGCGUGAACAAAAUGAAGCACCAUUUCAGGUCAAUUGGCAUUCGGACAUAGCUCAAUAUUAAGGCUGGUAACACAGUAUCCUCCCCUGUUGGUGACCAAAGGCCAUCUGCUUAAAUAUCUGCCAAGAUUCAUCAAAAGUUGACAUUGGUGAUAGCAAGACAUCCCAAAGGUCCUUCCUUUCGCUCCACACGUCAUCAAGAACAAGUACCUCGAGAAAGGUGCAUCAAAUACAGUCAAAAUAUUUCAGCUGCUUGAAUGGAAAAACAGCUCCCAAGGUUUGCAAUCCCUGGAUCUCUGGAUGUACAGAACACUUGUACCACUAAACUUGCAUUUGCUUGGUGAACUCAUCCUGAUCAUUUUGUUAAAAAAAACUCGUCCUGCACCAUCUAGUUAUUGUUCCAAGCCACAAUUUUCAAUCCUAAUAAGUCCAAGAUCUACAUGUACGAAUUUUAUCUGUUUUUGUUGGGUUGUUCACCAUUUUAGUUUGGAGUUACCCAAAUGCCAAAAUCUGAAGCUUUGUUUUUGUCAUUCUGAUAGUGACAAACUUCUUCGAUAAUUUCAAGGGAUUAUUUAAAUAUCUGUUUUUAAUUCAUUAUAGCACUAGUUUUGACAAGUUUCCAGCCUCUAGACCAAUGACUUCCCGAGGUCGAUGGCAGAUUUAGCCCAUUGUCAAGGGUGAGGGGUUCUAAUGCCGGAUGUUGAGGGUGUGGACUUCCUAUGCUGAAGGAUCUUUCAUGUUGAGGGCUUCUUGAGCUACAUCUAGGGUGAAGCCUUCUUGUGCUUAGCGACUUCUUAAGCUCGAUGUCAAACUUGAGGGCUUCUUGAAAAGAAAACCUAGACCAACCUAGGAGGGACUAUGUGGUAUUUUUAUUAAGAAUAAAAUAGGCACCUAAGUUCCAUUGGAUGAGGCAUUGAACCUGGGUGGUCUAGUUAUGGUACACACCCCCACCUUGACGAAUUGAUCUAGCUCAGCUUCCUUCGAGGGCUUCUUGAGUCUCAGGACCUUCCGAAUGGCCUCAAAAACUUCUUAAAUUUGUUUUCUUGACAUCAAGGACCUCUUGAGUAUGAGCACGAGGACUAGGGGCAGGGGCGGACUCAGGCGGUCAGGCCUAAGGCCAGUAGGACCAUGGCCAGUAGCGGAGCCAGGAAUUACAUAUAGGGGGGCUAACCAAAAAAUCCAACUUGUCAAAACUAAGCAUAAUCGGCGACCGCCUAGCUUGAUUUAUCGACUUGACGUAGGUGCUCGCAUUUUCUAUAUAUAAUUCCGGUGGUAAACGACACACCCUUAACAGAAAGAUGUUUGAGAUGAUUUUAUAACCAGCUUGAGAGACGCGUCUCUAUUUUUCUAAGGUGCUUCUUAGUAUUAUCUAGUUAUGUUUUGUAUUCCCUCCAUCCCAAAUUAUAAAUCAUUCUAAGAAUUUUGGAGAAUCAAAGUAGAAAGAAUCACAAAGAUUUAUGCCAUCAAAGAGGUAUACUGCGAAAAUAUAAUUAAUGAAGAACCUAGUGGUACUUAGUUGAUAUCAUAAGUAUUACUAUCUUAUUAUAUAAAUUUGGUCAAAUUUAGGAUGCUUGGACUCUCUAAAAUUCAUAAAAUGACUUAUAAUUUAGAAUGGAGGGAGUACGAUUUUACUAUCUAAAGGAUACUGAUAAGUAUAUAUAAGAAAAAUUAUUAUAUUUUUCUCUUAAUAUAAAUAAAAACCAUAAAUUUAUACCAAUAAAAAUGUUUGUUGACACAUGUUAGGGGGGGGGGCAUGGCCCCUGCCAGCCCCCCUUGGCUCCGCCACUGACCGUGGCCCUAGUCAUGGCUCACCGUGCACACAGGACCCGCUGAGGGUGAUCGUCGAUUGGAAGCGCUGCAUGGCGCACAUGCUCCGGCCUGGGAAGAUUGGCUAGAUCCAGGGAGGAACAUGUGCAUACACUGUCUAACUCAAAUAGAUAGACGAUGUAUAUAAGUUUUAAACCGUAUACUACAACGUAGUAUUGGUGCUAUGUAGGACUGCCUUUGGUUCAAAUUUGUAAGUCUUGCUCGAACUUCACAAUUAUAUUCGAGUUCUAGGGCCAAUCAUCUUCAUCCAACCAGCCUACAUGUGUAGUAUGUCAAAUACUCAAUCCUAAUAAUUCCAAAGUAUUUAUAUCUUUUUGAGCCAUAUUAUUUACUGCUCAUUUAGUUAUGUGAGAGAUGGGCUCUUUUGAAAACACGACGAAGAGGAAUAAGCUUUUGACAUGCUGCACAAUUCAAUGAACUUAUAUGAGACUAUCUUUUAGACUUAACAAUUUUGUUACUAAGGCCCCGUUUGGUUGCAACUGGUAAACUUUAAAAACUAUUAUAUCAAAUGUUUGGACACAUGUAUAAAGUAUUAAAUAUAGAUAAAAAAAUAACUAAUUACACAAUUUUUUUAUGAGACCCAGUUAUAGACGCAGACGCUCACAUACACGAGCACACACUCACCCCUAUGAACGCACGCACUCACACCCUACCCCUAUGAGCACCUUGGAAGCACCGAGGUUGGAUCGGCAAAGUUCAAAAUUGACGAAGUCACCACAGGCACCUCGCUAAUUUGCGAGAUGAAUAUUUUAAACUUAAUUAGUCCAUGAUUGGACACUAAUUGCCAAAUAAAACAAAGAUACUACAGUACUGUUACUUUACUGCCUCUAACCAAACACACCCUAAAUUUUGGCCCUAGUCUUCGUCGAAAUCCUUAGGUCCGCCACUGACUAGGGGACUGUCUCGUGUGCUGUCUUACUUAGCCAAGCCAAAAUUUGGUCAUGCCCAUCAAAUUUUUUUGAAGGAACUAGAGGGGUUUGCACCCCUACAGAGAAUAAAUUAAAAUAAAGCACAAGGUUUAACAAUUACAAAUUACAAAAACAACUAGGCAAAGGGGGAUCUCUGCUUAACGCAUGGGCAUAGAAGUCAGCACAGAAGUUUGAUCAAUGUCUAGCAAAAGUGGGAUUGGACCAAAGGAUGUGGCCAUGUACUAGGGUGCUAGUCAAAGGUUGUUCCCACACAUGAAACAAGGCGAGCCCCAGGGAAACUUUUCUUUAAAUAAAAUACGAAAGGAAUGAAAACAAAUAAGCAUCGAUAAAAAACAAAUGCGGAGUACAUAAACAAGCUCAGACUAACAGCACAACCUCAAUGUUCCAAGGUACAUUCUUCUUUCUAGGUAAUUUGAAAUCUGUUUAUGUCAGUUGGUCCAUUAUUUAAAUUUGGUGUUAUCCCAGAAAGAUAAAAUUUAGGGCUUUGUGUUGUCUCUUCGAUGAUGACAAACUUCUUCAGGAAUCUGAACACAGUAGCUAAUAUGUUUCAUUAAUUUAGACAUAAUUCACUAGGAACCAUCCUUAAAACUGAAAACAAACGGAAUCAGACCUUUAGAAAGAUUAGAAGAGCUAACAGAUACAGAGCACCUAGAAGAACUGAAAGGUACAGCUACUUGUAAUGGUUUCUAACAGUACUAUAUAGAGCGGUUUCACUUGGAACAGACCAAGGACACAACCAAAUGUUCCAAGUUUGUUGAGUGAUAAUGUGUUGUUUCUAACUGGUGGACAUCAAAGAUUUUUGUCCUGAAAAGUAUCAACACACAGGGUGCUAAAUGACAUAAUCAAAUGUUUACAGCCAUCUGCAUUUUCUGUAGCGAAGCAGUAAUUUCUAUGUCUAUUUAGUUUCUCUAAUCCUCCUGGUCAUCAUCAUUCUCGGGUAUAUCUAAGAACUCUUCUUCAACUUCAUCGUCUGUUUCAUCCCACAGCAUUUCAAGAGCUUCUCGGUCUUCAUCACUUUCAUGGAUAAGGCAUAACAUACCUGAUCAUAGAGUUGCGCAUUUUGGAACUCCAACCAGUCCUGUAGCUGCGGACAUUUCAAGAUUGUAAGCCGCUCGAGCUGUUGGGGAAGAGUCUGGUCAAAAGGGAGAUGCAGUUUCCGGCACGCUAUUAUGUUUAGCAGCUUGAGAGAUUGCAAGUUGCUAAGGCCCACUAGUUCCUGCAGCUUAUGGCAUGCACGAACCACAAGGAUCUCUAGCAGUGGCAGGUUCUGGCUAAGAAUGACGUACUCUAUGUUGUGAGAAAGAGACACCUUCAACGCUCGCAGCAAUGGCAAGUUCAGACAAUGGACGUGGAAGAUGCCUCAACUCAAAGCAUUCCUUGAUUCUGAGUUCGUGGAGGCAAGAGAAGUCCCCAUCAUCUACUCCGGACCAUUCCACCCAAGUUGGCAUGUUCUCAAACUCUAGAUCCUUCAAUGAAGGGAAGCCUUUUGUAUCACCUUGCCCACAGAAUUCCUUUGAAAUGUGCCGAACGCCUCUCAUCCAUUGCACAGAGAGCUCAAGGAGCCACCAUAGUUGGCUACCUCCAACUCCUUCAGAUUGCUAUGCGGCCGAAGGCUCUCAAAAAUUGCCUCCUCAAACUCGGGUGUACGUACAAUGUCACAUUGAACUCCGGAAUGAUGUCUGCAUCUACUAGGCUACAAGUUGUACGCAUUCUGGCUGGAUUCUCACAUGGGGUGAUUUAGUGGCGGAGCCACCCUAGCGGCGACGGCGACGUGGGGCAGCCGUUCCAGCUAGACAGUACCGGCCGAUGAUGUUCAGAGCAUCCUCGUUUUUUUCCUGUCAUCUUUCUCAUGUCAUGUCUCGCAUCUUACGGAGCACCGCGCCAGGGGGUCAGACAAGGCAGAAAAAAAGGUGCUGCAGCUUGGCUUGUUCAAUGGGGCCACACCACAACGACAAAGACGACUAUGCAGUAUUGUGCCGGUGCCACUACCAGCUAGCAGUAACAGCAUUCUGCUGUUUGGGUUUAGAUUAAUCUCAACGGCAAACACCCAAUGUACUAGUGCUAAAUGCUGAAGACUAAUAACAUUUUAACAUUUGAGUUUAGGUUCUAAACAAUUGCAUUCACCUAGUAGUAACAGCAUUUGUGUUUGGGUGAUUAUUGAUUGA